AUGAGAUCGGCAUCAUCUUGAGAAUCAUCUGAAUUCCACAAGCUACAUGAGACACCAAAACUAAAGGAACAGUAAAUGUGUGCAACCUGCUGUCCAAUAUUUGCUCAGGUGCAGCUGGAGGUUAUUAGGUCAUGAUUCUGAAGAAGACUUAAGAGGACUCAUAUUCUCUGGGUGCCCUUUAUAAGUAAAGACUGGAUACAUCUGAACACAGUUCUGGACAACACAAACAUGCUAUGGAAUGAGAAGCUACCUGAACAAGCAGAAGCUGGGCAACAACAGCCAGGGGUUUUCUACUUAGACCCAUCUUUUAUUUACACAAGAAAAAUCUUCAGGGAUCCAAACCUUUAGGUUCCAAGCCUCUUGAAAGUACAUCCAAAUGUCCAUGAAAAAGGCAACCUUGACAAUGUAGUGAUCGGUAUUCAGUGAUGUCUUACCUGUCUUUUUUUUAAAAAAAAAUGUACAUUAAGUACAAAGAGGAAAACUGAAGUACAAAAAUAGAAUAUACAAACAAACUAAGAUGACCUGAAGUACAUCGGAUCAAUAUCCAAUUUUAUGCGGCCUAAAAAAGUGCUUACAUCCUCGGAUACUGUAUCUGUUUAUACAACAUCAAAAUGGCAGUGCCACAGCCAGAUCCUUUCUUGUGAUUACACAUAUUAAGUACAAGAUGGCAAACUGAAGAUCUAGGCCGCUUGAAAUGGUUUUGUUUUAACUGAAAAUGGUCACACUGUUGGAGCUGCUUUUUCUUAUUAUUCUGGAGAAUACCAUAAACUUUUUCAAAUGGAUAUGUGAAGUAGC